CCUACGGGAGGCAGCAGUGGGGAAUAUUGGGCAAUGGGCGCAAGCCUGACCCAGCAACGCCGCGUGAAGGAAGAAGGCUUUCGGGUUGUAAACUUCUUUUCUCAGGGACGAAGAAAGUGACAGUACCUGAGGAAUAAGCCACGGCUAACUACGUGCCAGCAGCCGCGGUAAUACGUAGGUGGCAAGCGUUAUCCGGAUUUAUUGGGUGUAAAGGGCGUGUAGGCGGGAGCGCAAGUCAGAUGUGAAAACUCAGGGCUCAACCCUGAGCCUGCAUUUGAAACUGUGUUUCUUGAGUGCUGGGGAGGCAAUCGGAAUUCCGUGUGUAGCGGUGAAAUGCGUAGAUAUACGGAGGAACACCAGUGGCGAAGGCGGAUUGCUGGACAGUAACUGACGCUGAGGCGCGAAAGCGUGGGGAGCAAACAGGAUUAGAUACCCCUGUAGUC
rnacentral:rRNA from 1 species